rnacentral:rRNA from 1 species
CAAGUCGAGCAGGGUCGAAAGACGGACUUAGUGAUCCGGUGGUUCCGCAUGGAAGGGCCAUCGCUCAACGGAUAAAAGCUACCCCGGGGAUAACAGGCUUAUCUCCCCCAAGAGUUCACAUCGACGGGGAGGUUUGGCACCUCGAUGUCGGCUCAUCGCAUCCUGGGGCUGUAGUCGGUCCCAAGGGUUGGGCUGUUCGCCCAUUAAAGCGGUACGCGAGCUGGGUUCAGAACGUCGUGAGACAGUUCGGUCCCUAUCCGUCGUGGGCGUAGGAAAUUUGAGAGGAGCUGUCCUUAGUACGAGAGGACCGGGAUGGACAUACCUCUGGUGUACCAGUUGUCGUGCCAACGGCAUAGCUGGGUAGCUAUGUGUGGACGGGAUAAGUGCUGAAAGCAUCUAAGCAUGAAGCCCCCCUCAAGAUGAGAUUUCCCAACUUCGGUUAUAAGAUCCCUCAAAGAUGAUGAGGUUAAUAGGUUCGAGGUGGAAGCAUGGUGACAUGUGGAGCUGACGAAUACUAAUCGAUCGAAGACUUAAUCAA